rnacentral:rRNA from 1 species
UACGAAGGGGGCUAGCGGUGUUCGGACUUACUGGGCGUAAAGCGCACGUAGGCGGCUCUGUUAGUUGGGGGUGAAAUCCCGAGGAUCAACCUCGGAAUUGCCUUCAAGACUGCAGGGCUUGAGUUCGGGAGAGGUGAGUGGAAUUCCCAGUGUAGAGGUGAAAUUCGUAGAGAUUGGGAAGAACACCAGUGGCGAAGGCGCCUCACUGGCCCGUAACUGACGCUGAGGUGCGAAAGCGUGGGGAGCAAACAGG